rnacentral:rRNA from 1 species
AUGAACGCUGGCGGCGUGCCUAAUCCCUGCCAGUCGAGCGAACAGACGAGGAGCUUGCUCCUCUGACGUUAGCGGCGGACGGGUGAGUAACACGUGGAUAACCUACCUAUAAGACUGGGAUAACUUCGGGAAACCGGAGCUAAUACCGGAUAAUAUAUUGAACCGCAUGGUUCAAUAGUGAAAGACGGUUUUGCUGUCACUUAUAGAUGGAUCCGCGCCGCAUUAGCUAGGUGGUAAGGUAACGGCUUACCAAGGCAACGAUGCGUAGCCGACCUGAGAGGGUGAUCGGCCACACUGGAACUGAGACACGGUCCAGACUCCUACGGGAGGCAGCAGUAGGGAAUCUUCCGCAAUGGGCGAAAGCCUGACGGAGCAACGCCGCGUGAGUGAUGAAGGUCUUCGGAUCGUAAAACUCUGUUAUUAGGGAAGAACAAAUGUGUAAGUAACUAUGCACGUCUUGACGGUACCUAAUCAGAAAGCCACGGCUAACUACGUG